rnacentral:rRNA from 1 species
GAUGAACGCUGGCGGCGUGCCUAAUACAUGCAAGUCGAGCGAACGGACGAGAAGCUUGCUUCUCUGAUGUUAGCGGCGGACGGGUGAGUAACACGUGGAUAACCUACCUAUAAGACUGGGAUAACUUCGGGAAACCGGAGCUAAUACCGGAUAAUAUUUUGAACCGCAUGGUUCAAAAGUGAAAGACGGUCUUGCUGUCACUUAUAGAUGGAUCCGCGCUGCAUUAGCUAGUUGGUAAGGUAACGGCUUACCAAGGCAACGAUGCAUAGCCGACCUGAGAGGGUGAUCGGCCACACUGGAACUGAGACACGGUCCAGACUCCUACGGGAGGCAGCAGUAGGGAAUCGUCCGCAAUGGGCGAAAGCCUGACGGAGCAACGCCGCGUGAGUGAUGAAGGUCUUCGGAGCGUAAAACUCUGUUAUUAGGGAAGAACAUAUGUGUAAGUAACUGUGCACAUCUUGACGGUACCUAAUCAGAAAGCCACGGCUAACUACGUG